UAGACAGUUGGGAUAGCCAAUCAGAUCCCAAGUUGUUGACAGCAGCCUGUCUAAGUAGCCUGAUGUUAACGAGACUGAUUGGAUACUCCCUUGUCAUUCCAAAGUGUGUAUCCAAUCACACAAGUUGCAACUUAGCAGGAAACGGGAAGUGUUGACCCACAAAGAAGGAGAACAAAACGUGGAUUAGGUGGCAGAUAUAUAUUUGCAAGGCCAUUUUCAGGAAUGAUGUUUAAAGGGAAACUACAUCUUGUGAGACGAUGUCGGCGAUGAAAUGGGGAAAUGCCCGCCAUUUCCACUCGAAUCAGCCAACUACGAGGGGUCGAAUGGGUGCUACGAAUUUUGUAGGAGGUGAUGUAGUCUUCCGGUAGAAGAAUACGCUUCGGUCGCUCCACUUUUAUGUCGUCUUCAGAGCAGCCAGACUACAACUUCUAACGACGGUGUGCUGCCGAUGCUGGAGCUUGGACGGUUGGUGGAAGAUGUGACAAGAGCUCGAUUUUCAUCCGGCUCGUCCAUAAAACGAUGGGGGAACUCAUGUCAUAUAUAUUUCCAUGAAACAUCGCUUUUUGCAAGAAUUUGGACUUUUAUGGCAUUUCAAGUAGUAUUACGGCACAGAAAGAGAUUUUUUGAAUGCUAAAAUUGUUUAAUUUUGAGGGUUAUGCCCGUUCGUGCGUGUGUCGUGUGUCCACGCACCCCCGGCCUGAACAACAAUGGUUCAUUCCACCCUCACCGAGUUGCUUCCAUCGGAGAAAAAGUCUCAGCGUCCUGUGGAAAAUUAUCUCUCAGGACUAUUCUUAGCUCUCUAUCUGAAAUACACGUCUGAGAAAAAAAAACAUCUGAAUGCAAAAAAAAAAAAAAAAAAAAAAAAUACAGAUUUGUAUGGUUAAGAAUGUUAUUGAGGAAGUUCCAUUUCAAAAGUGUACAGUUAGCCUAUUUGCAUUGGGAAACAACAACCCAUUAAUAGCCAUCAAGAAUCAUUUUAAAGGGUCUGUAUUUUUACACAUUAAGAAAUAAAAUUCUUAAUUAUGCAGGCGUUUUAUGCAAGAAACACACGUAAUAGUCAGUUACAGCGACACUACAGGAAGUGUGGUGUGUACAGUAUGUCAGCAUGUCUACUCAGUGGAUCAAUUAUUAACACUGUGUGUGUGUGUGUGUGUUUCUGAAGCCUGACACCUGUUCCUAUAAGCACAUGGUGUGUUCAUCGCUCCCUAGAGAAGGGAUGCAUGCA